UACGUAGGGGGGCAAGCGUUGUCCGGAUUUAUUGGGCGUAAAGAGCGUGUAGGCGGCCAGACAGGUCAGCUGUGAAAACUCGAGGCUCAACCUCGAGACGUCGGUUGAAAACCGUCUGGCUAGAGUCCGGAAGAGGAGAGUGGAAUUCCCGGUGUAGCGGUGAAAUGCGCAGAUAUCGGGAAGAACACCCCGUGGCGAAGGCGGCUCUCUGGGACGGUACUGACGCUGAGGUGCGAAAAGCGUGGGGGAGCAAACAGG
rnacentral:rRNA from 1 species